rnacentral:rRNA from 1 species
UACCAGCACCCCGAGUGGUCGGGACGAUUAUUGGGCCUAAAGCAUCCGUAGCCGGCCUUACAAGUCCUCCGUUAAAUCCAGCUGCUUAACAGCUGGGCUGCGGAGGAUACUAUAAGACUAGGAGGCAGGAGAGGCAAGCGGUACUCAGUGGGUAGGGGUAAAAUCCGUUGAUCCAUUGAAGACCACCAGUGGCGAAGGCGGCUUGCCAGAAUGCGCUCGACGGUGAGGGAUGAAAGCUGGGGGAGCAAACCGG